UACGAAGGGGGCUAGCGUUGUUCGGAAUUACUGGGCGUAAAGCGUAUGCAGGCGGACUUUUAAGUCGGGGGUGAAAUCCCGAGGCUCAACCUCGGAACUGCCUUCGAUACUGGAAGUCUUGAGGCUGGAAGAGGUUAGUGGAAUUCCCAGUGUAGAGGUGAAAUUCGUAGAUAUCGGGAGGAACACCGGUGGCGAAGGCGGCGACCUGGGUAGAUACUGACGCUGAGGUGCGAAAGCGUGGGGAGCAAACAGG
rnacentral:rRNA from 1 species